CUAUUCGUCAUUGUUAUAGUUGUUCGGCUGAGCUGUGUAGAGAAGUGUCAACGAUUCGGUCAAGGGCAGUACAUUCUGUGAUAUGUGUUUGCUGACACAUGGUGCAUAAAAAAACACUUUAUGAGACGGAUACACUAACCGUAUAGCAAAGAGCGUACGUUUUCAGAGUCCAACCAAUUUCGGUUGUUUUCAAAUGCAUAAAAGUACCGGAAAUCUAUGAAAGGAAUGCAAUGCACAUAUUUUAUUCGGUUUAUAUAGGUAUCUCAGCGUUAGUGAUUAUAAUGUGUGUUACUUAUAACUUUAGAACAAACUAAAAUAAUAUAAAAUCAAAACAAGAAUGUCCAAUUCAUUUGGAAACCAGGACAUUGAAAAAUACACGGAAACAAGGUAGCCGUCAAACACGCAAAAAUACAACAGUACCGAAGCCCCCGAUCAAAAUACAGUAAGUACGAUACUACUUAUUAGUCACAAAAAAACACGAAAAAUUAAUCACACAGAAUAUUUGGCCACACCCACCUCACACACGGACACAUCAUGAAAAACUAACCACCAACAUGCGGAGUUAUUCUUACGCAAUAAAACAUCUGAUGACAGAAUGCAAAUCAAAUGAAGAAGAAGGGCAAAAACAUAAAAUACCAACGAACUUAUAUGAAAUUAUCGGACCCGACUGUUAGCCAGUAAACGUCAAGUCAUUCCUCAGGACCAUCGAACUGGAGAAACACAUUUAAGAGUUAUAUAGUUAUAAAGUCCCCCUAAAUUAUUGUCACCAAAUUGUAAAAAAAAUAUAAUAUAAGUAUUAAUGUAUAAAGCUAAUAACCCCGGCUGCCGAAGUUAUAAUGUUCAAUAUAAAAAAAAAAACAAAAAUAAUAUAAUAUUUACGUAAACGUAAAAAAGCACGUUUGGUUCUAUCACUGGAUGGUCAGAUUCCACCUAACAAUAUAUUACUGUCUAAAAGUAUUAAAAAAAUAUCUCAUCUACUUGCUUUACUAGAACAUGCACACAUUAUAAAAUAUAUUAUUUUAUUAAAUAAAAAUAAUAUUUAUUAGAAUGUAAUAUACUAGUAGCUGUAAUAAAUAAUAUUUUAUGUACUGAUGUAAGACAUAAAUCAUUAAGAGAACCCUCGUAUGUUGUAUCCGUGACUCCGUCUUAAUAAGUGGAGUAAAAUAACGGAUAAAAUACCAGAUUUUACGUUUAGAAUAAUUAAUUUAACUCAGUCAUAUAUAUUCAUUAUAGAGCGAAUUUACCUAAAAUGUGAAGGUUAGCAGUAAGCACUUAUAAUAUUAUAUAUGGAUCUAAGUAGGUUUUUUUUGUUAUUUAAAUUUUCAAGCAAGUAAUAAGAAUUUAAAAAUGUUGAAGGGUACGACGCCCUCUUAUAUAAUCAACGUUUUAUUUAUAUUUUUACUGUUGACCAAUUUACAAACUAAAAAAUUAUAAAUUUACAUAAAUAUGUCUUUAGAUACAUAAUAUUAAGUCAUA